rnacentral:rRNA from 1 species
GACGAACGCUGGCGGCGUGCCUAAUACAUGCAAGUCGAGCGAAGUUUUUCUGGUGCUUGCACUAGAAACACUUAGCGGCGAACGGGUGAGUAACACGUAAAGAACCUGCCUCAUAGACUGGGACAACUAUUGGAAACGAUAGCUAAUACCGGAUAACAGUAUUUCUCGCAUGAGAGAUAUUUAAAAGUUGGUUAUGCUAACACUAUGAGAUGGCUUUGCGGUGCAUUAGCUAGUUGGUGGGGUAAAGGCCCACCAAGGCGACGAUGCAUAGCCGACCUGAGAGGGUGAUCGGCCACACUGGGACUGAGACACGGCCCAGACUCCUACGGGAGGCAGCAGUAGGGAAUCUUCCGCAAUGGGCGAAAGCCUGACGGAGCAACGCCGCGUGAGUGAAGAAGGAUUUCGGUUCGUAAAGCUCUGUUGUUAGGGAAGAAUGGAUAUGUAGUAACUAUACAUGUAAGAGACGGUACCUAACCAGAAAGCCACGGCUAACUACGUG